rnacentral:rRNA from 1 species
GAUGAACGCUGGCGGCGUGCUUAACACAUGCAAGUCGAACGGGAAACCUUUUAUUGAAGCUUCGGCAGAUUUCGCUGGUUUCUAGUGGCGGACGGGUGAGUAACGCGUGGGUAACCUGCCCUAUACAGGGGGAUAACAACCAGAAAUGGUUGCUAAUACCGCAUAAGCGCACAGGGCCGCAUGGUCCGGUGUGAAAAACUCCGGUGGUAUAGGAUGGACCCGCGUUGGAUUAGCCAGUUGGCAGGGUAACGGCCUACCAAAGCGACGAUCCAUAGCCGGCCUGAGAGGGUGAACGGCCACAGUGGGACUGAGACACGGCCCAGACUCCUACGGGAGGCAGCAGUGGGGAAUAUUGCACAAUGGGGGAAACCCUGAUGCAGCGACGCCGCGUGAAGGAAGAAGUAUCUCGGUAUGUAAACUUCUAUCAGCAGGGAAGAUAGUGACGGUACCUGACUAAGAAGCCCCGGCUAACUACGUG